rnacentral:lncRNA from 1 species
AUCUGAUACAAAAGAUAAUUUAUUUGUCUACCUUCAAAUACACAGAGUAUAGCAAUUCAUGGAUCCACAAGUAUGCAAGGUGACUUCCUAUUCAAGCUACCUUGCUUACCCCGACGAAUGCCCUACUUCCUUGGUGAAAAAUCCCUGUACAAAAACAAAACAUGCUUUUUUCACUGCAAAUCACAAGAUAUAAACUUAACCAAACUAUGAAAAUAACACUGCACACGCAUUAAAAAAAAAAAAAAAGGGAAUUACACAACUAGAGCGGGAUACAUUUAGCCACAAGCAGGGGAGGAAGCCAGCAAGCGACAGAGCCACCAACGCUUAUUCUAGCAUACAAACAUACAAACAUACAAACAUACAAACAUACAAACAAAACGACAAAACAACGAGAAGCACCCAAACACCACGACAUGCACUAGCAUUCAAAUACACACGCAGGCACCCCGAGCAGAAGCCUCGAGCAAGUAGUCCAACUUGACAGCUAGCAGAGAUUGGACGAGCAGGCCAGGAAGACGAGGAGAGAAGCUCACGACAGCUGGGAUAUUGGGCCGCACAGGCAAGGGGAACCGAACAGCAACCCCACGAAACGCCACAGACCCUGAGAGGAGUGCAUAGUCAUUACAAUACGAUUACACUAAUUUAUAUUAUUGACUAGUGGACAGAACACCGACCGUAUAGCUGAGAGAGAUAUAGAGAGCCGGAAGAUACAGAGCCGGAACCCAGACAGGACCCCCGCGUCCGAAUACUAUAAACGCAGCAACGUAAUUCUACACUAAGCAACCUUGCUAAUUAAUCCAUAUCACUGAUCAAACGAAAGGCAUCAACAGCCUACCUGAAUGCGAGGUCAACAAGUACACGCUCACAAUGUUGAGGAGCCAACAACUACACGGCUGUGUUACAAUCCCGGAAGAGCAGUACGCCACCGUGGCUAGAAGAUAAACAGAACAUUCUAACUUCUCCAACUCAGAGAACCAACAGCGUUAGUAGAGGAAUCAGAGCGCAUACCUGUAACGUUCUGCAACACGGUGCAGGAGGGACAAGAGACAAGAAAUCCCCACGAGUGGUCCCAGCAAGAUAGGCGAGUGCCUCUCGUGAAACCUGUGCCCUAUUUAUUCAGCACCGCUGUUAAUCUCCCAC